AUUGGCGCCUUUAUCGCAGUCUAACAGGCCAUACAGGCUUAUCCAAAGCAAAUGUUUCCCAGCAGAUGAGGGAGAUAGAGCGGGUGAUCAGAGGCUGUUGACACACGGCACAGCAUCUGUAAUUAAGUCACCAGGGAAGCUGGCAUGGGAUGCUGUGACAAAGAGUGAAGUUCUGUGAAAAACAGGUGUCUGUGUUGGAAAUGCUGUAAUGUAUGGCACACUGAGAUCUACUACCUGCUUAUAAUGACCGGUGUUCCCUGUUCUGCAAGACUGGGAGGGAAAGAGAAUAUCCAAUGAACAGAAAUAGAUCCUUGGAUUUUGGAUCUUGGUGACCUUGACUCCACAAAUCUACUGAACAAUUACAUUACGGAACAGUUGAUUGCUUCUUUCUUUGUGUGGCAAUAGAUUAUGGAAUAAGAUGAAAGGAGCCUUCAGAACCUACCUUGAUAUGCUUUUUUUUUCUUUUUGUGAAGAACAGCACCACAAAAAUAUGGUAUAAUUUAAGAAAAUGGUUUUAGUUUUAUUUCUAUUUCAAAUAAAAUAUUAAAA